rnacentral:misc_RNA from 1 species
GAUGAAGAACGUAGCGAAAUGCGAUAAGUAAUGUGAAUUGCAGAAUUCAGUGAAUCAUCGAAUCUUUGAACGCACAUUGCGCCCAUUAGUAUUCUAGUGGGCAUGCCUGUUCGAGCGUCAUUAAGUCCACUUAAGCCCUGCUUAGUGUUGGGAGACUGCUCCAGCGGUGCUACCCUGUAGCUACCCUGCAGCUCCUCAAAGACAGCGGCGGAGUUGUGGUAUCCUCUGAGCUUAGUAACUUGUUCUAGCUUCCGAGUACACCACUUCCCCUGCCGUAAAACCCUUAAUUUUUAAUGGUUGACCUCGGAUCAGGUAGGAAUACCCGCUGAACUUAAGCAUAUCAAUAAGCGGAGGA